rnacentral:rRNA from 1 species
UACAGAGGGGGCAAGCGUUGUUCGGAAUUACUGGGCGUAAAGGGCGCGUAGGCGGCCUGCUAAGUCGAACGUGAAAUCCCCGGGCUCAACCCGGGAACUGCGUCCGAUACUGGGAGGCUUGAAUUCGGGAGAGGGAUGCGGAAUUCCAGGUGGUAGCGGUGAAAUGCGUAGAUAUCUGGAGGAACACCGGUGGCGAAGGCGGCAUCCUGGACCGGCAUUGACGCUGAGGAGCGAAAGCCAGGGGAGCAAAGCGGG